rnacentral:rRNA from 1 species
UACGAAGGGGGCUAGCGUUGCUCGGAAUCACUGGGCGUAAAGGGUGCGUAGGCGGGUUUUUAAGUCAGAGGUGAAAUCCUGGAGCUCAACUCCAGAACUGCCUUUGAUACUGAAAGUCUUGAGUAUGGGAGAGGUGAGUGGAACUGCGAGUGUAGAGGUGAAAUUCGUGGAUAUUCGCAAGAACACCAGUGGCGAAGGCGGCUCACUGGCCCGGUACUGACGCUGAGGUGCGAAAGCGUGGGGAGCAAACAGG